UACGUAGGGUGCAAGCGUUAAUCGGAAUUACUGGGCGUAAAGGGCUCGUAGGCGGCCAACUAAGUCAGACGUGAAAUCCCUCGGCUUAACCGGGGAACUGCGUCUGAUACUGGAUGGCUUGAGUUUGGGAGAGGGAUGCGGAAUUCCAGGUGUAGCGGUGAAAUGCGUAGAUAUCUGGAGGAACACCGGUGGCGAAGGCGGCAUCCUGGACCAACACUGACGCUGAUGAGCGAAAGCCAGGGGAGCAAACGGG
rnacentral:rRNA from 1 species